UACGGAGGGUCCAAGCGUUAUCCGGAAUCAUUGGGUUUAAAGGGUCCGUAGGCGGUUUUGUAAGUCAGUGGUGAAAGCCCAUCGCUCAACGGUGGAACGGCCAUUGAUACUGCAAGACUUGAAUUAUUGGGAAGUAACUAGAAUAUGUAGUGUAGCGGUGAAAUGCUUAGAGAUUACAUGGAAUACCAAUUGCGAAGGCAGGUUACUACCAAUUAUAAUUGACGCUGAUGGAACGAAAAGCGUGGGGGA
rnacentral:rRNA from 1 species